rnacentral:rRNA from 1 species
GAUGAACGCUGGCGGCGUGCCUAAUACAUGCAAGUCGAGCGAACGGACGAGAAGCUUGCUUCUCUGAUGUUAGCGGCGGACGGGUGAGUAACACGUGGAUAACCUACCUAUAAGACUGGGAUAACUUCGGGAAACCGGAGCUAAUACCGGAUAAUAUUUUGAACCGCAUGGUACCAAAGUGAAAGACGGUCUUGCUGUCACUUAUAGAUGGAUCCGCGCUGCAUUAGCUAGUUGGUAAGGUAACGGCUUACCAAGGCAACGAUGCAUAGCCGACCUGAGAGGGUGAUCGGCCACACUGGAACUGAGACACGGUCCAGACUCCUACGGGAGGCAGCAGUAGGGAAUCUUCCGCAAUGGGCGAAAGCCUGACGGAGCAACGCCGCGUGAGUGAUGAAGGUCUUCGGAUCGUAAAACUCUGUUAUUAGGGAAGAACAUAUGUGUAAGUAACUGUGCACAUCUUGACGGUACCUAAUCAGAAAGCCACGGCUAACUACGUG